rnacentral:rRNA from 1 species
CGGGGGGCAGCAGUGGGGAAUUUUGGACAAUGGGCGCAAGCCUGAUCCAGCCAUGCCGCGUGAGUGAAGAAGGCCUUCGGGUUGUAAAGCUCUUUCGGCCGGGACGAAAUCGCAUGCGUGAAUAUCGUGUGUGGAUGACGGUACCGGAAUAAGAAGCACCGGCUAACUACGUGCCAGCAGCCGCGGUAAUACGUAGGGUGCGAGCGUUAAUCGGAAUUACUGGGCGUAAAGCGUGCGCAGGCGGUUUCGUAAGCCAGAUGUGAAAUCCCCGGGCUUAACCUGGGAACUGCAUUUGGGACUGCGAGGCUAGAGUACGGCAGAGGGAGGUGGAAUUCCACGUGUAGCAGUGAAAUGCGUAGAUAUGUGGAGGAACACCGAUGGCGAAGGCAGCCUCCUGGGCUAGUACUGACGCUCAUGCACGAAAGCGUGGGGAGCAAACAGGAUUAGAUACCCGCGU